GCACUCGAGCCAACGAGAUUGCAGCGCUUCCCGUUCGCUCAGCUUAUACUUAAGCUCGAUAUCGGCUAGUUAGUACUGAAGUGGGUGACCAUUUGGGAAUCCUGGCUGUCGAUUGUU
rnacentral:rRNA from 1 species